rnacentral:rRNA from 1 species
GAUGAACGCUGGCGGCGUGCCUAAUACAUGCAAGUCGAGCGAACAGACGAGGAGCUUGCUCCUCUGACGUUAGCGGCGGACGGGUGAGUAACACGUGGAUAACCUCCCUAUCAGACUGGGAUAACUUCGGGAAACCGGAGCUCAUACCGGAUAAUAUAUUGAACCGCAUGGUUCAAUAGUGAAAGACGGUUUUGCUGUCACUUAUAGAUGGAUCCGCGCCGCAUUAGCUAGUUGGUAAGGUAACGGCUUACCAAGGCAACGAUGAGUAGCCGACCUGAGAGGGUGAUCGGCCACACUGGAACUGAGACACGGUCCAGACUCCUACGGGAGGCAGCAGUAGGGAAUCUUCCGCAAUGGGCGAAAGCCUGACGGAGCAACGCCGCGUGAGUGAUGAAGGUCUUCGGAUCGUAAAACUCUGUUAUUAGGGAAGAACAAAUGUGUAAGUAACUAUGCACGUCUUGACGGUACCUAAUCAGAAAGCCACGGCUAACUACGUG